rnacentral:rRNA from 1 species
UCGGGAAUUUUGGGCAAUGGGCGAAAGCCUGACCCAGCAACGCCGCGUGAAGGAUGAAGUAUUUCGGUAUGUAAACUUCGUAAGAAUAGGAAGAAUAAAUGACGGUACUAUUUGUAAGGUCCGGCUAACUACGUGCCAGCAGCCGCGGUAAUACGUAGGGACCAAGCGUUGUUCGGAUUUACUGGGCGUAAAGGGCGCGUAGGCGGUGUGUCAAGUCAGUUGUGAAAUCUCCGAGCUUAACUCGGAACGGUCAACUGAUACUGUCACACUAGAGUACAGAAGGGGCAAUCGGAAUUCUUGGUGUAGCGGUGAAAUGCGUAGAUAUCAAGAGGAACACCUGAGGCGAAGGCGGGUUGCUGGGCUGAUACUGACGCUGAGGCGCGAAAGCCAGGGGAGCAAACGGGAUUAGAUACCCCGGUAGUCCCUGAGCGGGCUGGCAAGGCGCAU